UAGUGGAUUCCCGCUCAGCUAACUCGGCCAUUAUGCACUACCCAGUAAACAAAAUGGCUGAACAGUAUCUUAAAUGUUUGAACAUGAGCUAGUCAUACCAUGUCACGUAAUAUUCAUGUGCAGUGUAGCAAGCCCACCUUAUAGGGGUGUAAAACAUGAGGUGUAUGAGGUUAUUGUUUAAAUUACAGGAGUAGAUGCCUGCAGCUGAAACAGUUUUCUGAUCUGAACGUGAACCUACCUACUGGUCACGUUCACAGUAAUGUUACCAGAUAUGCAUUGUACUAUAGGAAAACGUGGUGGAUCAGUGUGCAAAAAGCCCCCAAAAGAAACACACAGCUUCUUUAGCUCAAACACUGUCUGAUCUCUUAGAUACUGUGCUGUUCCAUCUAGUUAUUGGUUACUGAGAAAUGUUAGGUUAUUAAUUAAUUAAGAGAGUCCAGCUGUUCAGAUCAGAUGGUGAAGUAGGAAAAUGCAGAACAUGUUACUAUAGCUGAAUACUGUGUAAAAAUACUAGUAAUAAAUCUAACUCCCAUUUAUGGCUUUUACUACUGUGGGGCUAAAUAAAAAAUUACAGACAUAAUGAAAUCUGCUACACUUACAAAGCUUAAGUUUAAAACAAUUAUUAUAUAUUAAGCAUUUUUUUGCUCUUUUUUUUAAUUCUUUUUGCUAAUAAUGGACUCAAUUUUAUUAUCAAGUUCAAAGACCUAUUAAACUUUUAAACCAUUAAAUCCAGGAAAUUAGAUGCCCGUAAAUGUACGAGACCCUCUUUAUGGCUAGUAUCCCCAAAUAUUUAAUAAUUCUUUCUAAAAGUACACAAAUUUUGUUCUUUUCAAUUAAAUAGUGCAUGUUUAAUGUAUUCUUGAGCAGGUAAAAAUUCCACUAAAUUAGUUUUUGCAUAUUUUUAAAUAUAUUCAAAUUUUUAUAGUUUGCGAGUACUUUUAAUUUGGAGAUUUUGCCACUUGUUUUGAAGUUUGGAUAGUGCUUUAUAGUAAUUUGUAAAUGUUUUGAAGUCAUCUGGCUUCUUAAUAAUUUAAUAAAAACUUAACAAGCCAUGUAAUAAUUUGAAAACCACUAGGGACCACUUAUUACUAUGUCACCAAUUUUUUACUUAAAGGAAUUUAGGAAUUAUGUCUGUCAAGACAUUUGUUCUGGCACAAGUCACCAUUUUGAUAUAUCUUCCUGUGACUUUAAAGUCUGUCAGCUAGUUAGAUACAUUUUUGCACUGCUAGUGUUUGCUGCUUGAAUUAGUCAGUUUACCAUAUAAACACAUGCAGUGCCUUUCAAACUUUUAAUUACACUGUUCAUUUUGUGCAUUAGUAAGAGAAUCUUUUAUAUUGAAUUAUCCUGGGAAAAAACGAAAAUGUUUGUAUUUUUUUUUCUCAUGCACUUUCUUUCAUUUCCUUAUCACGUUUAGAUUCUUCAAGAUCACAAGCACCAUCUUUAACAUGUUGCCAUGGUAGCAGAUACAGGGGGAACAAGUGUAGACGAUGCCACAAGAAGGAUGAUGAAAUUCCUCAUAUGACCUGAGCUGGCUGUGGAGUACAACAUGCUUGGCCGACAUGGGAAAAAAAAGUUCAGAGAUUUACGUCUUUUUAAUGUUGUGUAUGAGGCACUGAAGAAGAAUUAUUUAACAUCAAAAGUCAACUUGCAAGAAGCAGAGAAGGCUCUCUCCAAGUGGUUCACUGGAGCUAAAGACAGAGGAGGACCGAGGGCUGCAAGGGUACAAAAUAGACUUACGGCUCUGUAAAAAAACAAAAAAAGAAACCCUGCUCAUUCAAGAUAAGCUUUUGAGUUUUCCAUCUGACUUUUUCUCACUGUUGCAACAGUUCCGAAUAUAUAAGGAAUUUUGAUGUAGUUUGACAUUUCUAGUUUUUUAAAAGUUUACGCACUUUGGAAUACAGUUACGUAAAAUCACAGUUGUUGGACAAAAUAAAUGUGAAAAAUGUU